rnacentral:lncRNA from 1 species
UGCACAGCCGCUCGCGAUUUUGAGUGGCGAUGGAGCUCCAGUCCAACACACCAUCCUGAUCCCUCUAGCAGUGGUUGCUGACCUGACAAGAAUAGCUUCACCUUCACCUGUUGUUCGCAACGAAAAACAACAAGCAUGAGCCAAAGAGGCAACACGUUAAGCUUCACCAGACAAGAGGUCAAUACAAUAUGUAGGUCAACUAUCACAAUAUGUAGAAAUGACAAGAUUUUGAGUUUAUGAACUGGGACACUGUAAUCGGAAUAGCUCUUCAAGUAUAGUCUAACAUAUUACAGUAGAACUGAAUAUCUGUGCAAAAAUGCAACUUGCUGUUUCCGAAAUUCAUGAUCAUAAGAUGUGCAGAAAAAUGCAUCAGGUUCAAUCUCCUUGAGUGAGGAAAAAUACAAACAAACAGUGCAUUAUCCAUUACUUAUAACCCUAAGAGUAGUUUUCAUGAAUCGCAGUACAAGCAAUAGCAUGGGAAUAUAAAAAUCCCAAAUAUUUGACAUUUUAAUGGAAGGGUAGCGUUUUUUGAAUUGAAAAUGAUAAUGUUGUCACCAUAGGGAAAGCAUAAUGCUGGAUAUUAGAAGGCAGAGGAACAUGAUUUCCUCAAAUCAUGCAUGUAGCAGCAUACAGGUAGUGUAGCAUUUUUACAAAAUGUGUAAUAUUUUCACAUGGAUAAGAAAGGUAUAAUGCCAGCUAGUCAAAACCAACAUCCAAGCCACACCCCAACAGCUGUAGCCCCACAACCAAUCACAUCCAUGCUUUAAUUUAAUUAUUUAAUAGGUGGACAGUAGGUUUUUUUUGAAAGUCCAAUAGAAAAGGGCAAAUGCAAGUUUUGAAUGAACAAUCCAGAUCCAAACAAUCACGAGUUCUGAAUCAUGCCACAACAAAAGCGAAUUCAUUUAUUCAGAGAAGAAUAACUAUCAUCCACAGGAAAUCAGCAGCACGUCCAUCAUUCACGAGGUUAUGACAUGCCGAGAUUAGAAAAUUUCAUUUCAAUACAUCUCUCUUUUGUCUGAACUGAAGAAACCAUUUUUUUUCAGUUAAAUGCAAAUUGACAAGUACUCCCUUCGUUCCUAAAUAUAAGUCUUUUAAGAGAUUCCAAUGCGGGCUACAUACGGAGCGAAAUGACUGAAUCUACAGUCUAAAAUAUGUCUAUAUGCAUCCGUAUAUAGUCCUUAUUGAAAUCUCUAAAAAAAUUAUAUUUAGGAACGGAGGGAGUACAACCGUCCACAGUAGAGAAGCAACUGUGGAUAAGCUCUCAGAUUAUCACAUAAUCAAAAACAACAUCAUCAAGUAAGCCAUCAAAUUCUCAAAAGCUAACAUGGGGCUAGUGCUCAACAUUAAAAAGGUCUUCAGUUUUCAGUUUAAGUGAAUCAAGGUACAUGAUCUCUAAACUGUGUACAAAUGCAAAAUAUCGUGAUUCCUAAACUGCAGUCUUUAAGCCACGAUAGCUAAUAACUAACUAACCAUUGCUUAAAAAAGUGCAACACGGUAACUAUAAUAAGACAGAUUUACAUAGUAACUAAUUCACGAAGAAACAUAUACUCAUAAAUCUCUGCUCUAGUUGGUCACUACUGUAAGCUAGGAAAUAUAUACUUGCAGGGAUUCAUGAAGAACAACAUGCUGCACACCCACCUACUGGAACACUAGACGUAAUCACAUACAUGAUGGAAUUGGAACGAGAAUAUUACCCAGAACGCCAGCUUAUGGAUGUUCUAGGAAAGUAACCACCACAGGUUCUAGGGUAUGGAUGUUCCAGGGAUGGUAAGGAACUCAAGUGGCAGGCAUCAUCCUUCCGUUAGUAAGGUAUAAAACUUGUAAGAGCAGCGGGACAAUAAAUAAAUCUAUGUAUGAUAUGACAGUUGCAACGCAUACACAUAAACCAAGCCAACAGAUGCUGGACACGGGGAGGGGCGAGAGAUCGUCGACAACUCGAAAUAGUGACUUACCUACACCGGUAAGUAAGCUGAUGAAUCUAAGCUAGUACUCAUCACCGAUGAUGCGGGUUCACCAGUCCGUCCUUCAAGUGAGUCGGAAUAGUCACGGGUCAUCGACACACC